GUAAUUGAUUUGUAUGAGUAAGUGGCGGCCUGCAAAGCCGUGUAGGCCGGUUCGACUCCGGCUCGCGCCUCCA
rnacentral:tRNA from 1 species